UCUCCACCUCUUCUUCCAAGGAGACCUACAGGUUAUCUCUAUCACACACAAAAUCCCCAUCUUCCUGCAGAAACUUGAAUGCUAUGCUAAAUUGGUUGACAUUGAUGCUUCGCGAGACAUACCAUCGUCGGAGGUGCAGCUGGUGGCUAGCUGGAUCAGCGCGCCGCCGGAGGAGCAGUUGGCGGCUGGCGGCACAAGCCGCUGCUCGCACCACCGCCGCGUGUGUUGCCGUUGCUUGAAGAGCCGGCUGGUGGGCUCUGCCCGUGCUACCAGCAUAGGAUGGAGAACGAUUCUACCUGCAUAAACUUGGAUGUUAUGCUAAAUUGAUUGACUUUGAUACUUGCUACAUUAUGAACAAUGAUUAUUGUAGCUAAUAAGAUGUUUGUUUCAUUUUUUCAGCAUAGGAUGGAGAAUGAUUCUACCACAUGGGCAUGAAAUGAAAAAUAAUCGCUGCCAUGGUCUUCUUAUCAAUAUGAGUGCUAUAAAUAAUAUAUUGGGAUGGUUGUCGCUCUAAAUUUCGCCAUGGAAUGUACAAAGCCUCACGUGAGCUUCUGCUCUUCUUAGUCAAUUAUUCAAUUUUCAGCUGGUCCUGCAAAGGGAGACAACCUCCUCUGUAUCUGCUCUCUCGGUUGAUGGUAAUCUACUCCGCUCUAUGUGUAGGCUGUUGCCAGGAGUUAGCCCCUACCUCGCAGUCGAGAAGAGCAAGGUCUGAGGAGUGGUAGGAUAGUUUGUAUGGCUCCCUCCACUCUGGUGGUUCGGUUGGGUCUGGGUAGGCUGGUGUGAAGGUUUAGCUCACUGUCAUGAAUGAUAGAGACGAGCUCUGUCCACUUGACUAUUCCAAGGUGGCUGCCCCAUUAUGGAUAACAAGAGAAUGUUGAAUGUCGACGCAAGAGAAGGUUAUCUGUGAAGGAGGUUUCUUGAUAAUGAUGUUUUUAUCUCAGGAUAUGUUGGCCUACUUCUGAAUACUAGAUGAUACUUUUUUUUAUUAGCUCAUCAUCCCUGCUAAAGUUAAGUACUGGAUGUUUUUCUGAGGAAGGUAGAAUGGCUACUCAAGAAAAAGAAAAAGAUAUUGCAAUGAUACUAAGAAAAGGGAAAUUCAAGGCCAUCUAUUACAGUAGCCAAAAGAGGCUAUAGUACCACCCAUCAAAACAAGAAGGCAUCCAGUGAACUAUUCAGAGAGGGAGAUCGGAAGGGAAAGAAGAAAUGGUGAGGGGGGUUGAGGAGACAAUAGAUGACACCUAUUUGCUAAUCUGCUGGCUCAAAUGUUGGCGGGAGU